rnacentral:rRNA from 1 species
AGCGGAAGGCCCUUCGGGGUACUCGAGCGGCGAACGGGUGAGUAACACGUGAGCAACCUGCCCUAGGCUUUGGGAUAACCCUCGGAAACGGGGGCUAAUACCGGAUAUUACUGCUGGACGCAUGUUUGGUGGUGGAAAGUUUUUCGGCCUGGGAUGGGCUCGCGGCCUAUCAGCUUGUUGGUGGGGUGAUGGCCUACCAAGGCGACGACGGGUAGCCGGCCUGAGAGGGCGACCGGCCACACUGGGACUGAGACACGGCCCAGACUCCUACGGGAGGCAGCAGUGGGGAAUAUUGCACAAUGGGCGGAAGCCUGAUGCAGCGACGCCGCGUGAGGGAUGACGGCCUUCGGGUUGUAAACCUCUUUCAGCAGGGACGAAGCGCAAGUGACGGUACCUGCAGAAGAAGCGCCGGCCAACUACGUGCCAGCAGCCGCGGUAAGACGUAGGGCGCGAGCGUUGUCCGGAUUUAUUGGGCGUAAAGAGCUCGUAGGCGGCUUGUCGCGUCGACUGUGAAAACCCGUGGCUCAACUGCGGGCCUGCAGUCGAUACGGGCAGGCUAGAGUUCGGUAGGGGAGACUGGAAUUCCUGGUGUAGCGGUGAAAUGCGCAGAUAUCAGGAGGAACACCGGUGGCGAAGGCGGGUCUCUGGGCCGAUACUGACGCUGAGGAGC